CCUACGGGAGGCUGCAGUGAGGAAUCUUGGUCAAUGGCCGUAAGGCUGAUCCCGCCAAGUAGCGUGAGGGAAUACUGCCCUAUGGGUUGUAAACCUCUUUUAUGUGGGGAUAAAGGUAUCCACGUGUGGAUGUUUGCAGGUACCGCAUGAAUAAGGACCGGCUAAUUCCGUGCCAGCAGCCGCGGUAAUACGGAGGCUCCGGGCGUUAGCCGGAUUUAUUGGGUUUAAAGGGAGCGUAGGCGGGUCUUUAAGCGUGCCGUGAAAUUUUGUGGCUCAACCAUGAGAGUGCGGCGCGAACUGGAGGCCUUGAGUAAGCGAAAGGCAGGCGGAAUUCGUGGUGUAGCGGUGAAAUGCUUAGAUAUCACGAAGAACCCUGAUUGCGAAGGCAGCCUGCCGCAGCUUUACUGACGCUGAGGCUCGAAAGCGCGGGUAUCGAACAGGAUUAGAUACCCUAGUAGUC
rnacentral:rRNA from 1 species